ncrna:unclassified sequences Transposase-1 RNA
CGUUAGGAGAAUGUCACUGUCAUUACCCACUACGAGUGGAUAUGGGAAUACAUUUGUGGA